rnacentral:rRNA from 1 species
UGGAAAUCAUUCGCAGAGUGUAAAGGUAUAAGGGAGCUUGACUGCGAGAGCUACAACUCGAGCAGGGACGAAAGUCGGGCUUAGUGAUCCGGUGGUUCCGCAUGGAAGGGCCAUCGCUCAACGGAUAAAAGCUACCCUGGGGAUAACAGGCUUAUCUCCCCCAAGAGUUCACAUCGACGGGGAGGUUUGGCACCUCGAUGUCGGCUCGUCGCAUCCUGGGGCUGUAGUCGGUCCCAAGGGUUGGGCUGUUCGCCC